UAGGGAAUCUUCCGCAAUGGACGAAAGUCUGACGGAGCAACGCCGCGUGAGUGAUGAAGGGUUUCGGCUCGUAAAGCUCUGUUAUGAGGGAAGAACACGUACCGUUCGAAUAGGGCGGUACCUUGACGGUACCUCAUCAGAAAGCCACGGCUAACUACGUGCCAGCAGCCGCGGUAAUACGUAGGUGGCAAGCGUUGUCCGGAAUUAUUGGGCGUAAAGCGCGCGCAGGCGGCCUUUUAAGUCUGAUGUGAAAUCUUGCGGCUCAACCGCAAGCGGCCAUUGGAAACUGGGAGGCUUGAGUACAGAAGAGGAGAGUGGAAUUCCACGUGUAGCGGUGAAAUGCGUAGAUAUGUGGAGGAACACCAGUGGCGAAGGCGACUCUCUGGUCUGUAACUGACGCUGAGGCGCGAAAGCGUGGGGAGCAAACAG
rnacentral:rRNA from 1 species